AAAUGAAUAGACGGGGACCCGCACAAGCGGUGGAGCAUGUGGUUUAAUUCGAAGAUACGCGAAGAACCUUACCAAGGCUUGACAUGUUAGGAAUCUUGUAGAAAUAUGAGAGUGCUAGCUUGCUAGAACCUAAACACAGGUGCUGCAUGGCUGUCGUCAGCUCGUGUCGUGAGAUGUUGGGUUAAGUCCCGCAACGAGCGCAACCCUCGUCCUUAGUUGCCAGCGGUUCGGCCGGGAACUCUAAGGAGACUGCCUGCGUAAGCGGGAGGAAGGUGGGGAUGAUGUCAAGUCAUCACGGCCCUUAUGCCUUGGGCAACACACGUGCUACAAUGGGAUAUACAGAAAGUCGCAAUACCGCGAGGUGGAGCCAAUCUCUAAAAUAUCUCUCAGUUCGGAUUGUAGUCUGCAACUCGACUACAUGAAGUCGGAAUCGCUAGUAAUCGUAGAUCAGCUAUGCUACGGUGAAUACGUUCCCGGGUCUUGCACACACCGCCCGU
rnacentral:rRNA from 1 species